rnacentral:tRNA from 1 species
AGUUAAUGAACUUGAUAAAGUAUGUAUUUUGAAAAUACAAUAUAGAAAUAAAACUUUCUAUUAACUU